rnacentral:rRNA from 1 species
AAAUGAAUAGACGGGGGCCCGCACAAGCGGCGGAGCAUGUUGCUUAAUUCGAGGCAACGCGAAGAACCUUACCUGGGCUUGACAUGUAGCGAAAAGCCGCAGAGAUGCGGUGUCCUUCGGGGCGCUACACAGGUGGUGCAUGGUUGUCGUCAGCUCGUGUCGUGAGAUGUUGGGUUAAGUCCCGCAACGAGCGCAACCCUCGUCCUAUGUUGCCAGCACGUAAUGGUGGGGACUCGUAGGAGACUGCCGGGGUCAACUCGGAGGAAGGUGGGGAUGAGGUCAAAUCAUCAUGCCCCUUAUGUCCAGGGCUGCAAACAUGCUACAAUGGCCGGUACAAAGGGCUGCAAAACCGCGAGGUUAAGCGAAUCCCAUAAAGCCGGUCUCAGUUCGGAUUGAAGUCUGCAACUCGACUUCAUGAAGCUGGAGUCGCUAGUAAUCCCGGAUCAGCAACGCCGGGGUGAAUACGUUCCCGGGCCUUGUACACACCGCCCGU